AUUGAACGCUAGCGGGAUGCUUUACACAUGCAAGUCGAACGGCAGCGCGGACUUCGGUCUGGCGGCGAGUGGCGAACGGGUGAGUAAUGUAUCGGAACGUGCCCAGUAGCGGGGGAUAACUACGCGAAAGCGUAGCUAAUACCGCAUACGCCCUACGGGGGAAAGCAGGGGAUCGUAAGAACUUGCACUAUUGGAGCGGCCGAUAUCGGAGUAGCUAGUUGGUGAGGUAACGGCUCACCAAGGCGACGAUCCGUAGCUGGUUUGAGAGGACGACCAGCCACACUGGGACUGAGACACGGCCCAGACUCCUACGGGAGGCAGCAGUGGGGAAUUUUGGACAAUGGGGGCAACCCUGAUCCAGCCAUCCCGCGUGUGCGAUGAAGGCCUUCGGGUUGUAAAGCACUUUUGGCAGGAAAGAAACGUCGCGGGCUAAUACCCCGUGGAACUGACGGUACCUGCAGAAUAAGCACCGGCUAACUACGUG
rnacentral:rRNA from 1 species